rnacentral:rRNA from 1 species
UAGCUAGUUGGUGAGGUAAAGGCUUACCAAGGCGACGAUCUGUAGCGGGUCUGAGAGGAUGAUCCGCCACACUGGAACUGAGACACGGUCCAGACUCCUACGGGAGGCAGCAGUGGGGAAUUUUGGACAAUGGGGGCAACCCUGAUCCAGCCAUGCCGCGUGAGUGAAGAAGGCCUUCGGGUCGUAAAGCUCUUUCGGCCGGGAAGAAAUCGCAUGGGCCAAUACCCUGUGUGGAUGACGGUACCGGAAUAAGAAGCACCGGCUAACUACGUGCCAGCAGCCGCGGUAAUACGUAGGGUGCGAGCGUUAAUCGGAAUUACUGGGCGUAAAGCGUGCGCAGGCGGUUUUGUAAGACAGGCGUGAAAUCCCCGGGCUUAACCUGGGAACUGCGUUUGUGACUGCAAGGCUAGAGUACGGCAGAGGGGGGUGGAAUUCCACGUGUAGCAGUGAAAUGCGUAGAGAUGUGGAGGAACACCAAUGGCGAAGGCAGCCCCCUGGGUCGAUACUGACGCUCAUGCACGAAAGCGUGGGUAGCAAACAGGAUUAGAUACCCUGGUAGUCCACGCCCUAAACUAUGUCAACUAGGUGUUGGGUGGGUAAAACCAUUUAGUACCGUAGCUAACGCGUGAAGUUGACCGCCUGGGGAGUACGGCCGCAAGGUUAAAACUCAAAGGAAUUGACGGGGACCCGCACAAGCGGUGGAUGAUGUGGAUUAAUUCGAUGCAACGCGAAAAACCUUACCUACCCUUGACAUGCCAGGAACUUGCCAGAGAUGGCUUGGUGCCCGAAAGGGAGCCUGGACACAGGUGCUGCAUGGCUGUCGUCAGCUCGUGUCGUGAGAUGUUGGGUUAAGUCCCGCAACGAGCGCAACCCUUGUCGUUAAUUGCCAUCAUUUAGUUGGGCACUUUAACGAGACUGCCGGUGACAAACCGGAGGAAGGUGGGGAUGACGUCAAGUCCUCAUGGCCCUUAUGGGUAGGGCUUCACACGUCAUACAAUGGUCGGUACAAAGGGUUGCCAAGCCGCGAGGCGGAGCCAAUCCCAGAAAGCCGAUCGUAGUCCGGAUUGCAGGCUGCAACUCGCCUGCAUGAAGUCGGAAUCGCUAGUAAUCGUGGAUCAGCAUGUCACGGUGAAUACGUUCCCGGGUCUUGUACACACCGCCCGUCACACCAUGGGAGCGGGUUCCGCCAGAAGUAGGUAGCCUAACCGCAAGGGGGGCGCUUACCACGGCGGGGUUCGUGACUGGGGUGAAGUCGAAACAAGGUAGCCGUAGGGGUACCUGCGGCUG